rnacentral:rRNA from 1 species
GAGUUUGAUCCUGGCUCAGGAUAAACGCUGGCGGCGCACAUAAGACAUGCAAGUCGAACGAACUUAAUUCAGAUGUUUACAUUUGGAAGCGGUUAGUGGCGGACUGGUGAGUAACACGUAAGCAACCUGCCUAUUAGAGGGGGAAUAACAGUGAGAAAUCAUUGCUAAUACCGCAUAUGCCAUAAGUACCACAUGGUACUAGUGGGAAAGGAGAAAUCCGCUAAUAGAUGGGCUUGCGUCUGAUUAGAUAGUUGGUGGGGUAAAGGCCUACCAAGUCAACGAUCAGUAGCCGAACUGAGAGGUUGAACGGCCACAUUGGGACUGAGAUACGGCCCAGACUCCUACGGGAGGCAGCAGUCGGGAAUAUUGCACAAUGGAGGGAACUCUGAUGCAGUGACGCCGCGUGCAGGAAGAAGGUUUUCGGAUUGUAAACUGCUUUAGAUAGGGAAGAAAAAGACAGUACCUAUAGAAUAAGCUCCGGCUAACUACGUA